rnacentral:rRNA from 1 species
UACGUAGGGUGCAAGCGUUGUCCGGAAUUAUUGGGCGUAAAGCGUGCGUAGACGGCUAUUUAAGUCGGGUGUGAAAGCCCCGGGCUCAACCUGGGAAUUGCAUUCGAGACUGAGUAGCUAGGGUGCGGUAGAGGGAAGCGGAAUUUCCGGUGUAGCGGUGAAAUGCGUAGAUAUCGGAAGGAACAUCAGUGGCGAAAGCGGCUUCCUGGACCAGCACCGACGUUCAGGCACGAAAGCGUGGGGAGCAAACAGG